rnacentral:tRNA from 1 species
AGGGGUGUCGCCAAAUGGUUAAGGCACUUGACUCUGACUCAAGCAUGUGAGGGUUCAAAUCCUUCCACCCCUGCCA